GAUGAACGCUGGCGGCGUGCCUAAUACAUGCAAGUCGAGCGAACGGACGAGAAGCUUGCUUCUCUGAUGUUAGCGGCGGACGGGUGAGUAACACGUGGAUAACCUACCUAUAGGACUGGGAUAACUUCGGGACACCGGAGCUAAUACCGGAUAAUAUUUUGAACCGCAUGGUUCAAAAGUGAAAGACGGUCUUGCUGUCACUUAUAGAUGGAUCCGCGCUGCAUUAGCUAGUUGGUAAGGUAACGGCUUACCAAGGCAACGAUGCAUAGCCGACCUGAGAGGGUGAUCGGCCACACGAGAACUUAGACACGGUCCAGGCUCCUGCGGGAGGCAGCAGUAGGGAAUCUUCCGCAGUGGGGGGAAGCCUGACGGAGCAACGCCGCGUGAGAUGUGAAGGUCUUCGGAUCGUAAAACUCGGUUAUUAGGGAAGAACAUAUGUGUAAGUAACUGUGCACAGCGUGACGGUACCUAAUCAGAAAGCCACGGCUAACUACGUG
rnacentral:rRNA from 1 species